CCUUGCGAGUAAGGGAGACACCAGGAGAGGGAAAAUCGGCGAAGCACGUGUCGUGUUGACCCCAACGGUUUCCCAUCACCGGCAAGCAUUUGCAUGGAGGUAUCGGUUUCCGAUGAUCGAACGACAUUGAAUCAACUCUCAUCCCCGUGAUCAACGGUCCUCCCGGCGUUCCUGGCGUCGGCGGAGCCGUCACCGCCACCGCACCCAUUUCAGCCUCCGGCGGAGACAUCCUAAUCUUUUCGGGAGAAGAAAAUGGAUCUGGGACGUUAAUUUACAUGCUUGUAAGGAUUUUUAUGAAGCUGUUACUACGUAAGAAGAAGAAUAUGAACGAAGAUAGCCACCUCAAAAAACCAAAUUCAGAAACCGAAUCAUAUAAAAAGCAAAGACGACACACAUAUGGAUGCGUACGUUAGCACUGAACAAAGACUAAUUCUCGAAUCUGUGGUUCUGAAAGGAAAGAAAAGAAAAAUAGAGAGAUGUAUGAAAGGUUUGGUUAAUGCUCGAGCUUAAGUUAUAUUUAUAUGUGUGUGUUUAUAUAGAAAAGAGAUUGUUAUGCAUUGAACCCAAAAAGAUCAAUAGUAAAAAGUCAACUCCAAUAACAGUUCAUUACUAACGCCCUUUAUAAAGAUAUCUGCUAGAGUCACCGGUGCCUUUGUCACCGGCAUCUUCGUUACCGUUCGAUCUAAGCAACAUAUCUGUAUGUGAUUCUUAGGAACCGCACAUGGCCGUGACGGUAUCACUGAUCAUUUGCCACCCCACAAUCCUCCAAUAAUUGAAUAGAAAAUUGUUCUUAAGUCUGGGGAAGAGCGUUUGAUUCUUGGAACAAUUUUUAAAGAGAACUAUUCCAUAUUGUUAUAAGAGAAUUUAGGCUGUGUAUACACACAAUAAUCCAAAAUUAAGAAAAUACCCCAUCACCAUCUUUUACACUGUGGUUCUUUCGAUAUCCCACUAAUGCCCCUGCCCAAACUUCUGCCCAAAUUAUAUCUCCUUCUCUCUCUCGUGUUUCUUCUUCAAAAUUCAUUGCCUGAACAAUAAUUCCAUCUCCCUUUCUUUCUCUUCCUUGUAUCUUCUUAAAAUUCUUAAAUACAAUUUUUUAACAUUUCUACAAUCUUUCUCUUCAUUUGUUUUCGAUUUCCAUCGAUGUAAAUCCAAUAUCAUCUAACUGUAAUUCUUUCAACACAGUCUCUGGAUCCAGCGAGUACUAUUCUCUUGAUGAGUUCAUCUACCGCAGAAUCUCCAUGGUACAUAAAGGAGAAAUCUAUUUGAUUCACAAAUGCACAUGGCUGUAAGGAUGGACCUUAUCAUUAAGAAAGGGGUUCUUCCCAAGAUUGAUAACGACGACCUUAAUCUCACAUUUAAUUACAAUUAUUUGUAAUCACUAUACAACAACUAGAUUUCUAUUAAGUGAUAAAUAUUUGAUUAGAUGUUACAUAUUAAGUCUUGUAAGCAUAUACAUGUUUAGUUAGGUGUUAAAACUUUAUGUAAAAUUUAUUUGUUACAAAUUAGUUGCUGUUAUAUGA